rnacentral:lncRNA from 1 species
UCAAAUAAUAGAAACGAAAAAUAUUUUUUAUAUACCAUGUCUUUAGAACGAAUAGGGAAACAGGAAUCGUCUAAAUAAAGGCAAUAAGCAGGACGGAAGAAUGGGAAUAGACUAGUUUCCUUCCUUUUCACACUAAAAGUGUGGAAGACGGGAGGCAAAACAAGAGAAAUAUUUAUAAUUUAUUUAUCGAAAUCAGUUAUGUACUGAAAAACUUCGGAAAUUUAUCUUAAAAGGACUUGACAGUCAGUGACGCAAUUAAGGAAAUACAUACGGGA